rnacentral:misc_RNA from 1 species
GGCUAAUCCAAGACAAUAAUCUAUAUGGGAGAACCAAUAAACGCGAGAAAAUCCAUAAAGAAAAUAUUGAAUUUUUGACAACGAUGCAGUGGAAGUUGAACCCUUUAUUACUGUGAGGUCCAUGUUUUGUCCACUUAUUCUAGUCAAAAGCUGAUAUCAAAUAUGGAAAGGAGAACUUGGGAAUGCUAAUGGUUCGUGGAACUUGUAGUUUUUCAACCAAUAAAUUGUAGCUCUUCUAAUAAAGCUAUUUGACAAAAUAAGAUCUCCAAG